rnacentral:snRNA from 1 species
AUCUGUUCUUAUCAGUUUAAUAUCUGAUACGUCCCCUACCCGGGACCAUAUAUUAAAUUGAUUUUUGAGCAGGGAGAUGGAAUAGGGGCUUGCUCCGUCCACUCCACGCAUCGACCUGGUAUUGCAGUAUUUCUAGGAACGGUGC